GUGCGGUCAGAAAAGACAAAGUUUUUUGAAUGUUGGCUUUGCCAACAGCACCGAAGAGGUGAAUAAAUCACUUUGCUAAUUGUUUUAUCUGAUGAUGUUU
rnacentral:ncRNA from 1 species